rnacentral:tRNA from 1 species
GCCGAGGUGAUGGAAUUGGUAGACAUGCGUGAUUUAGGAUCACGUGCUUCACGGCGUGUGGGUUCGAGUCCCACCCUCGGUACCA